rnacentral:rRNA from 1 species
GUCUACCUACGGGACGCAGCAGUGGGGAAUAUUGGGCAAUGGGCGCAAGCCUGACCCAGCAACGCCGCGUGAAGGAAGAAGGCUUUCGGGUUGUAAACUUCUUUUGUCAGGGACGAAGCAAGUGACGGUACCUGACGAAUAAGCCACGGCUAACUACGUGCCAGCAGCCGCGGUAAUACGUAGGUGGCAAGCGUUAUCCGGAUUUAUUGGGUGUAAAGGGCGUGUAGGCGGGAAUGCAAGUCAGAUGUGAAAGGCGGGGGCCCAACCCCCGGACUGCUUUGGAAACUGUAUGGCUGGAGGGCAGG